GCUGCCCGCUACGCCACCUGGAUAUAUCUACCCAUUCACAUUCACUUGCCGGUGGUGGCUGGUCCGCUUCAAAAAUCUGAGGUGCGGGAGGUCCCUCCGACCCCCUGGACAUCGAGGGGGCGCCGGCGUAUGCAGUUUGGUCCAUACUGGACUCGAGGCGUCGGGUGGGGAUUCAGUACCUCGUGGAUUGGGAGGGGUACGGUCCGGAGGAGAGAUGCUGGGUGCCGGUGGAGGACGUAUUUGACCCACCUAUGCUGAGAGAGUUUCACCGCCUCCAUGCUGAUCGCCCUGCGCCUCGUCCUCCGGGUCGUCCGCGCGUCGGGGGGUACUGUCACGACUUCUACCUUUUUCCUUUUCUGUUUGUUUUGUCUAUGGUUCUUUUUCACACCUGGUUUCAUUUGCGUUAAUUUCUGUGUGUAUAUAUGUACCCUGUUGCCUGCCUAAGUUUGUGCGGGAUUAGUCUUUCAUUGUGAUGUGCUCGUGAGGUUCUGCCGUUAUUUGUUUUCACGGAUUCUUAAGUUUGUGAUUGUUGGAACUUUGUUUGUUCCUCUGUACGUUUGCACGGGUUCUCUGUUGUCAAGGGCGUUGUACCUUUUUCGAUUGUGCCAUUCCUGUGUUGGUGGACUUUCUUAUUAAAACACUCUUCUCAGACA